GCCUCCGGAAGCUCCUGAAACGCCUCCGCCAUUCGGCCAAUGGUGUCCCCAAGAAGCCACAGGACGUGGAGAUGGUGGACGUGACAGCGGAGAACUGAGUGAUUCGGGGCCGUCCCAGUGUGACCAAUAAAAGCUUUCGUUGCAGUCA